rnacentral:tRNA from 1 species
GAAAUAGGAAAAUUAAGCUUCUAACUUAAUAUAUAGUGAAAUUCAUUAAUAUUUCU